rnacentral:rRNA from 1 species
GAUGAACGCUAGCGGCAGGCCUAAUACAUGCAAGUCGAACGGUCCACUUCGGUGGAUAGUGGCGCACGGGUGCGUAACACGUAUGCAACCUACCUUACAUUGGGGGAUAGCCUUUCGAAAGGGAGAUUAAUACCGCAUAAGACAGUAACAUGGCAUCAUGUAGCUGUUAAAGAUUUAUCGAUGUAAGCUGGGCAUGCGUCCAAUUAGUUAGUUGGUGAGGUAAUGGCUCACCAAGACGAUGAUUGGUAGGGGAACUGAGAGGUCAAUCCCCCCCACUGGCACUGAGAGACGGGCCAGACUCCUACGGGGGGCAGCAGUAGUGAAUAAUGGGCAAUGGACGCAAGUCUGACCAAGCCAUGCCGCGUGCAGGAAGAAGGCGUUCUGCGUUGUAAACUGCUUUUAUAUAGGAAGAAACGACCCUUGCGAGGUGCAUUGACGGUAUUAUAUGAAUAAGCACCGGCUAACUCCGUGCCAGCAGCCGCCGAAUAC